rnacentral:rRNA from 1 species
GAUGAACGCUGGCGGCGUGCUUAACACAUGCAAGUCGAACGGUGAAGGCGGAGCUUGCUCUGCUGGAUCAGUGGCGAACGGGUGAGUAACACGUGAGCAAUCUGCCCCUGACUCUGGGAUAAGCGCUGGAAACGGCGUCUAAUACUGGAUACGAGCUGCGAAGGCAUCUUCAGCAGCUGGAAAGAAUUUCGGUCAGGGAUGAGCUCGCGGCCUAUCAGCUUGUUGGUGAGGUAAUGGCUCACCAAGGCGUCGACGGGUAGCCGGCCUGAGAGGGUGACCGGCCACACUGGGACUGAGACACGACCCAGACUCCUACGGGAGGGAGCAGUGGGGAAUAUUGCACAAUGGGCGAAAGCCUGAUGCAGCAACGCCGCGUGAGGGACGACGGCCUUCGGGUUGUAAACCUCUUUUAGCAGGGAAGAAGCGAAAGUGACGGUACCUGCAGAAAAAGCGCCGGCUAACUACGUG